GACGAACGCUGGCGGCGUGCCUAACACAUGCAAGUCGAACGGAACUGUUUUGAAAGCUUUCUUCGGAAUGAAUUUGAUUUAGUUUAGUGGCGGACGGGUGAGUAACGCGUGAGUAACCUGCCUUCAAGAGGGGAAUAACAUUCUGAAAAGAAUGCUAAUACCGCAUGACAUAUCGGAACCACAUGGUUUUGAUAUCAAAGAUUUUAUCGCUUGAAGAUGGACUCGCGUCCGAUUAGUUAGUUGGUGAGGUAACGGCUCACCAAGACCGCGAUCGGUAGCCGGACUGAGAGGUUGAACGGCCACAUUGGGACUGAGACACGGCCCAGACUCCUACGGGAGGCAGCAGUGGGGGAUAUUGCGCAAUGGGGGCAACCCUGACGCAGCAACGCCGCGUGAAGGAUGAAGGUUUUCGGAUUGGAAACUUCUUUUAUUAAGGACGAAAAAUGACGGUACUUAAUGAAUAAGCUCCGGCUAACUACGUG
rnacentral:rRNA from 1 species